AAUCAACGCUGGCGGCGUGCCUAACACAUGCAAGUCGAACGCGAAAGCCCCGCAAGGGGUAAGUAGAGUGGCAAACGGGUGAGUAACGCGUGGGUGACCUGCCUUCGAGUGGGGGAUAACGUCCCGAAAGGGACGCUAAUACCGCAUGACAUCCUGCUUUUGAAAAAGCGGAGAUCAAAGCUGGGGAUCGCAAGACCUAGCGCUUGAAGAGGGGCCCGCGCCUGAUUAGCUAGUUGGUGAGGUAACGGCUCACCAAGGCGACGAUCAGUAUCCGGCCUGAGAGGGCGGACGGACACACUGGGACUGAGACACGGCCCAGACUCCUACGGGAGGCAGCAGUGGGGAAUUGUUCGCAAUGGGCGCAAGCCUGACGACGCAACGCCGCGUGGAGGACGAAGAUCUUCGGGUCGUAAACUCCUGUCGAGCGGGACGAACGCUUCGCGGAUGAAUAAUCCGCGGAAUUGACGGUACCGCUAAAGGAAGCCCCGGCUAACUCCGUG
rnacentral:rRNA from 1 species